GAUGAAGAACGCAGUGAAACGCGAUAGUUAAUGUGAAUUGCAGAAUUCAGUGAAUCAUCGAGUCUUUGAACGCACAUUGCGCCCAUUGGUAUUCCGUUGGGCAUGUCUGUUUGAGCGUCAUUACAACAGUUCAGCGUAAGCUGGUUAUGAGUUCUGUUUUUUUAAACAAAAAACAGGCUUUAAAAUGUAUGUUCUGCAGGUCGCUUUGCUAAACCCUAAACAUUAAAUACUGUUCUAGUGAAGCAUUUGCGACUCUGCCUGAAAAAAAACUUUUGUUAAAGUUUGACCUCAGAUCAGACAAGGAUACCCGCUGAACUUAAGCAUAUCAAUAAGCGGAGGA
rnacentral:misc_RNA from 1 species